rnacentral:miRNA from 1 species
UCUGUGUGUGUGCGUAUAUGUACUUGUAAGUAUAUAUAUAUAUAUACACACACACACACACACACACACACAUACACACACACACAAG